rnacentral:rRNA from 6 species
UCGACCUGAGCUCAGGCAAGAUUACCCGCUGAACUUAAGCAUAUCAAUAAGCGGAGGAA